rnacentral:rRNA from 1 species
CACGUAGGGGGCGAGCGUUGUCCGGAUUUAUUGGGCGUAAAGAGCUCGUAGGCGGCUCAGUAAGUCAGGUGUGAAAACUCCAGGCUCAACCUGGAGACGCCACCUGAUACUGCUGUGGCUAGAGUCCGGUAGGGGAGCAUGGAAUUCCUGGUGUAGCGGUGAAAUGCGCAGAUAUCAGGAGGAACACCAGUGGCGAAGGCGGUGCUCUGGGCCGGAACUGACGCUGAGGCACAAAAGCGUGGGGAGCAAACAGG